rnacentral:rRNA from 1 species
AUGAUUGGGUUUUUCUUGGUGAGGGGUCAUAAGGGGGAAGACAUUGGGAAGGACCUGGAGAAGUGUUUGAUUGAGUGGGGCAUAGAUAAGGUGUUUUCAGUAACAGUUGACAAUGCCUCACCAAAUGAUGGAGCGGUAAGCUACAUAAAGAGGAUCAUGAACAGUGCCAAUGCAAGUGUAGGGAAAGGAGAAUAUAUGCACAUGGGAUGUGCUGCUCAUAUUCUGAACUUGAUAGUUACCGAUGGGCUAAAAGAGUUGGAUAUCUCGGUGAAGCGAGUCUGUGCUGUAGUCAAGUUUGUUAAGAAUUCUCCAGCUAGAAUUAAGUUCAAGAAUUUGCUAAAUUAG